AAUAGGAAAACAGCUCUCCGCCACGUCAGAUAGGCAAUGACAAAUCUAACUUUUUCCAAAAUGAAUCCCGGCCCCUUUCUCUUCGUCUUCUCCGUCUCUCGACAUUCCUAGAUCCAGAUUUUGUUUCUCCUUUUCUUUUCUCAUUCUCUUCCUUUACUUCAUAGUUGAUAGUACUUUCUGAUUUGUGUUGAGAGUAAGCAACGCGGCAAGAGAUGUGGAGGUGAAGUGUGCCAUGGAAGACGACGGUGGCUUAAGAUCGUUGAGGUGUAGCCGAGCACAGCGACGUCGGAUCUGAAGAUAGAGGACCAUAGUCAUCUAUCCCACCGACCACCGUCAUCUCUAUCUCUCUCUUAAUUCAACGGCGGAGGAGGAUAAGUAUUAAAUCCCGGUCCAAUUACCGGUAUAAAAGAUACUACAGGUAUGAAAGAUUGUCCGUUUUAUCUAAAAACUGUUCGGUUCGGUUAUGGUAGACAUGGCAUUUACAAUCAACUGUCCUACUCAUUCCCCACCGAUUGUAAGGCCAGAACUUUUGAUUGGAGAUUUGAUAAGAGAACUCAGAAGCUACACGACAGAAAGUCAAGAUAUAUGCCAGCUAGAACAAUGGAUUUGAGGGCGAGCAGAUCCACAUGGAUAUCAAGAUCCAAAUCAGAAGCCAAAGAUUCAGGCGAAUAAAGAUAAGUAGAGAUGCGAGAGACGUGACCAACAGCUUCUCGAACAAAAUCCAAAGAGACCACAUAAUUUCGCAGAGGAGAAGCUAUAGUAGAGAAGAUAUGUGGUCAGAUCUCUGUUGGUCGAAACAUUGGUACCACUAGAGUUCUGAGAUCUGGUUGCAAGAUUAACUUCCUUAGGAGGAGGAGGCAGAGAUUAGCCUCACUCGAGAAGAAUAGAAAGAAGCUUGCUCCUGCCCCCAACAAACCGGACACGUUUUUGAUUGCUCCUGGAGUUAGCGUCCUGGCCGGGACGCUUUCUGCUGCUGAAAUUGCCUCUGUCAUUAACAAGUAUGGAUCUCCUCGCCCUAGAAUGGAAAGCAGAUGGAGGAGAACGGAAGUCUUUGCAGUAGCCAAAUGGUCGAGCGCUCCUCAAAAAUAUUUUAGAGAUGCAGUGGUCGAGAUGAUCAUAGAGAAUGGUAUCAACCACCAGGAAGAACUCAAAGAGGUUCUCAUUUGUUAUCUCAGAUUCAACACCGACGAAUAUCAUGUCGACAUGAACAUCAAUAUGUUUCAGCAGAUGUUUAAGACAUGGGAAAAAAUUAUGGAGGAAAGACUAAGGGGGAUACAAAAUGAUACUUAUAGCAAAAUUGGGAGUGAAGAAACUGGUGUCUCAGUGGAAAAGGUGAAAGCGAAGUGGUGGGGGAAGUUAAGGAGUACUAGGUAUUAAUGGCUUGUUUCUUUUCUCGAGAUGCAGAUCUUUUUUUCAAAACACGUUUAGUGUCAUUUGAGGUUUUGGUUUUGUUGCUGAGAAGGUUCCAUGGCAUUAAAAUUGAGUUAUGUUUCUCAUGGCCA